AGUGGGUGUAACGUACCUACUAGCCUACGACGGGUACGGGCUGUGAGAGCAAGAGCCCGGAGAUGGAUUCUGAGACACGAAUCCAGGCCCUACGGGGUGCAGCAGGCGCGAAAACUUUACAAUGCGGGAAACCGUGAUAAGGGAAUCUCGAGUGCCAGCAUAUAAUGUUGGCUGUCCAGAUGCCUAAAAAGCAUCUGUUAGCAAGGGCCGGGCAAGACCGGUGCCAGCCGCCGCGGUAACACCGGCGGCCCGAGUGGUAACCGCUUUUAUUGGGUCUAAAGGGUCUGUAGCCGGCCAUGUAAGUCCCUUGGGAAAUCUGGCAGCUCAACUGUCAGGCUGCUAGGGGAUACUGCUUGGCUUGGGACCGGGAGAGGUGAGAGGUACCUUGAGGGUAGGGGUGAAAUCUUGUGAUCCUCGGGGGACCACCAGUGGCGAAGGCGUCUCACCAGAACGGGUCCGACGGUAAGGGACGAAAGCUAGGGGCACGAACCGGAUUAGAU
rnacentral:rRNA from 1 species